UACGUAGGUGGCAAGCGUUGUCCGGAAUUAUUGGGCGUAAAGCGCGCGCAGGCGGUCCUUUAAGUCUGAUGUGAAAGCCCACGGCUCAACCGUGGAGGGUCAUUGGAAACUGGGGGACUUGAGUGCAGGAGAGAAGAGUGGAAUUCCACGUGUAGCGGUGAAAUGCGUAGAGAUGUGGAGGAACACCAGUGGCGAAGGCGACUCUUUGGCCUGUAACUGGACGCUGAGGCGCGAAAGCGUGGGGAGCAAACAGG
rnacentral:rRNA from 1 species